GGAGAGGUGGCCGAGCUGGCUGAAGGCGCACGAUUGCUAAUCGUGUGAUGUGGGAAACUGCAUCCGCGGGUUCAAAUCCCGCCCUCUCCGCCA
rnacentral:tRNA from 1 species